rnacentral:rRNA from 1 species
UCUGACACAGGUGCUGCAUGGCUGUCGUCUAGGCUCGUGUCGUGAGAUGUUGGGUUAAGUCCCGUACGAGCGCAACCCUUGUCCUUAGUUACCAGCACGUUAUGGUGGGCACUCUAAGGAGACUGCCGGUGACAACCGGAGGAAGGUGGGGAUGACGUCAAGUCAUCAUGGCCCUUACGGCCUGGGCUACACACGUACUACAAUGGUCGGUACAAAGGGUUGCCAAGCCGCGAGGUGGAGCUGAUCCCAUAAAACCGAUCGUAGUCCGGAUCGCAGUCUGCAACUCGACUGCGUGAAGUCGGAAUCGCUAGUAAUCGUGAAUCAGAAUGUCACGGUGAAUACGUUCCCGGGCCUU